rnacentral:rRNA from 1 species
CACAUGCAAGUCGAACGAUGAAGCCCUUCGGGGUGGAUUAGUGGCGAACGGGUGAGUAACACGUGGGCAAUCUGCCCUUCACUCUGGGACAAGCCCUGGAAACGGGGUCUAAUACCGGAUAAUACUCCUGCCUGCAUGGGCGGGGGUUGAAAGCUCCGGCGGUGAAGGAUGAGCCCGCGGCCUAUCAGCUUGUUGGUGGGGUAAUGGCCCACCAAGGCGACGACGGGUAGCCGGCCUGAGAGGGCGACCGGCCACACUGGGACUGAGACACGGCCCAGACUCCUACGGGAGGCAGCAGUGGGGAAUAUUGCACAAUGGGCGAAAGCCUGAUGCAGCGACGCCGCGUGAGGGAUGACGGCCUUCGGGUUGUAAACCUCUUUCAGCAGGGAAGAAGCGAAAGUGACGGUACCUGCAGAAGAAGCGCCGGCUAACUACGUGCCAGC